GUUGUAUGGUUAAGUGACUAAGCGUACACGGUGGAUGCUUGGCAGUCAGAGGCGAUGAAGGACGUAUUAACUUGCGAUAAGCCCAGAGAAGGUAGUAAAAACCGGUGACUCUGGGAUUUCCGAAUGGGGAAACCCACUUACAUAAGUAAGUAUCGUGUUGUGAAUACAUAGCAGCACGAGGCGAACCGGGGGA
rnacentral:rRNA from 1 species